GGUUAAGCGACUAAGCGUACACGGUGGAUGCCCUGGCAGUCAGAGGCGAUGAAGGGCGUGCUAAUCUGCGAUAAGCGCCGGUAAGGUGAUAUGAACCGUUAUAACCGGCGAUACCCGAAUGGGGAAACCCAGUGUGACUCGUCACACUAUCAUUAACUGAAUCCAUAGGUUAAUGAGGCGAACCGGGGGAACUGAAACAUCUAAGUACCCCGAGGAAAAGAAAUCAACC
rnacentral:rRNA from 2 species